UGAAGGUGAUUUGCCUGCACUAUUUGCCACCUCUUUGAUCACCAGAGUUGAAACUGCUGAUCUGUUGCCUAGACCAGUGUUUCCUUUCUCCCUCA
ensembl:misc_RNA 7SK 7SK RNA